UACGAAGGGGGCUAGCGUUGCUCGGAAUCACUGGGCGUAAAGGGUGCGUAGGCGGGUCUUUUAAGUCAGGGGUGAAAUCCUGGAGCUCAACUCCAGAACUGCCUUUGAUACUGAGGAUCUUGAGUUCGGGAGAGGUGAGUGGAACUGCGAGUGUAGAGGUGAAAUUCGUAGAUAUUCGCAAGAACACCAGUGGCGAAGGCGGCUCACUGGCCCGAUACUGACGCUGAGGCACGGAAAAGCGUGGGGGAGCAAACAGG
rnacentral:rRNA from 1 species